UGGGACGGUAGCCCAGCCUGGGAGAGCGCACGGCUGAAGCCCGUGAGGCCGGGGGUUCAAAUCCCCCCCAUCCCAU
rnacentral:tRNA from 1 species